GUAAACAGUGAAUUCCGCUAAAAAAGUCAAUUGUGAAAAGUAAACUCCAAAUUCCGAUAAAAAGGUCAACUCUGAAUUGUGAUAAAAAAUCAUAAUUGCGAAAAGUAAACUCCAAAUUCCAAUAGUCUAAAUUGUGAAAAGUAUAUUCUGAAUUCCGAUAAAAAAGUCAGAAUUGCGAAACGUAAACUCUGAAUUCUGAUAAAAAAAGUCAUAAUUGCGCAAAGUAAACUUUGGAUUUCCGAUAAAAAGAAAGUAAACAGUGAAUUCCGCUAAAAAAGUCAAUUGUGAAAAGUAAACUCCAAAUUCCGAUAAAAAGGUCAACUCUGAAUUGUGAUAAAAAAUCAUAAUUGCGAAAAGUAAACUCCAAAUUCCAAUAGUCUAAAUUGUGAAAAGUACAUUUCGAAUUCCGAUUAAAAAAGUCAGAAUUGCGAAAAGUACACUCAGAAUUCUGAUAAAAAAAGUCAUAA